AAUAUUUCGCCAGGGCGGGAACUCUGACGCAGCGCCGCCGCGUGAGCGACGAAGGACUACGGGUCGUAAAGCUCUUUUCUUGGGGGCGAAUAAAGGGACGGUACCCAAGGGGAAUGCACCGGCGACCUAUGAGCCAGCAGCCGCGGUAAAACGUAGGGGGCGAGCGUUGUCCGGAAUUACUGGGCGUAAAGGGCGUGUAGGCGGACAUGUAUGUGAGGUGUGAAAGGCCUCGGCUUAACCGAAGCAUUGCACAUGAAACUGUGUCGCUUGAGUGCAGGAGAGGAAAGUAGAAUUCCUAGUGUAGCGGUGAAAUGCGUAGAGAUUAGGAGGAACACCAGUGGCGAAGGCGGCUUACUGGGCUGGAACUGACGCUGAUGCACGAAAGCGUGGGGAGCAAAC
rnacentral:rRNA from 1 species